AUAGAGCGUUAGUAGUAUAACCAAUACACUGGUCUUG
rnacentral:tRNA from 1 species